rnacentral:rRNA from 1 species
AUUGAACGCUGGCGGCAUGCUUUACACAUGCAAGUCGAACGGUAACAGGGGGCUUGCUCCGCUGACGAGUGGCGAACGGGUGAGUAAUGCGUCGGAACGUGCCGAGUAGUGGGGGAUAACGCAUCGAAAGGUGUGCUAAUACCGCAUACGUACUGAGGUAGAAAGUGGGGGACCUUCGGGCCUCACGCUAUUCGAGCGGCCGACGUCUGAUUAGCUAGUUGGUGAGGUAAAGGCUCACCAAGGCGACGAUCAGUAGCGGGUCUGAGAGGAUGAUCCGCCACACUGGGACUGAGACACGGCCCAGACUCCUACGGGAGGCAGCAGUGGGGAAUUUUGGACAAUGGGCGCAAGCCUGAUCCAGCCAUGCCGCGUGUCUGAAGAAGGCCUUCGGGUUGUAAAGGACUUUUGUCCGGGAGCAAAUGCUGGUGGCUAACAUCCACCGGAGCUGAGAGUACCGGAAGAAUAAGCACCGGCUAACUACGUGCCAGCCGCCGCGGUAAAAC